UCCCACCUCAAAAGUCUUGGACAUCACAUCAUCUCCUAAUGUUCUCAUCUAUAUUGGCUUCAUUCUACUAGAAAUUGGCUAACAUUUUUCCAAGUUCCUUGUCCCAUUGCAGCGUAGAUGAGAUAUUUUCAAGUUGUGUUUCACUUUCUUUCCCAAUUUAUAGGUCUUUUUGACUUUUCUAUACAUAUGCUUAUGUUGAGAUAAAUAGAUUGCUAAGCUAAAUCUUCACCAUAGGUGAUACGACCACGGUAUGUACAGCAGCUGCUGUGCAUUCCUCCUUAAUCGAUGUAAUCUCUCAUUCAGUUGGGGACCUCUCCUAAGCAACACUCAUGGCGGGCAUGGUGGGUUCAGCUAUUGUGCAAGAGACCGUGAGCAGAAUCACGUCCUACUUGUUCAGCAAGUGUGACCAUGGCAGAAGGACGGCAUCCACAGGGCAUCACAUUGGGAGGCUUGAGAUGGCGCACACCGAACUAGAGCUUGCGCUUGAGAGAUCUGCAAGGAUGCCAAUCACAGACGUGUCCCUUCUACGGCGCAGGAAGCUGUUGGAGCGUGCCUUCAAAGACUGCGGAGAUCUGCUACACAGGUGCAUCAAGCAGCAAACAAUGAACGUCGACAUAGAGUUCGAACAACCAGUAAGACACUCCUUCUCUAAAUGGAUCGCACAUGUGACACAAUCAUCCGUGUCCUCCUAUUUACUGGGUUUCGCAAAGACAACCUAAGCUGCUCAGAUGUUCGAAGAAACGAGUGGUUUGCGGCGUGCGCCAACCGUUUCCUCAGAGAUGUGGAGUCAGGAUGCUCACCUCUGCGGUGCGUGUUCUCUAACCCACUUGAGUACAAGAUGGCGCAAGGAAGUAUACUCCGGUGUCUGCACAUACAGUGCAUGUGUGUGGAAGGGCGUGGUGUGGAGGCGACGACCGGAAGACACCGAUGAGAAGUUUUUCUCUCAUGCUGAUGCUACGAUUGUUAGAGAGCACGGACAUCGUCGGAACUGCUAUAAGAUGCUUGCAGUCAUUCACAUCUUCGAUGAACGAUGUGGCUGAAGCAGUAAUGAGAGAACUCAUCCAACUGCCUCAGCAAGACAUCUCCCACUCACAUGCUGCUUCAUGUUUCACCAUAAAAGAUUUGUGUUCCUAUGACACCAACUUUUGGCGCCCGGAUCCACUAUGUUGCAAGCCAGACAGGUGUGCUACUAGCUGUAUUCCAUCAGAAUUAUCAUGCAAAUUCCCGGAGCAGGUUAUUCUGAUACGCAUCGAAUGCUACGUUUCUGCCUUUGAGUGCAGCAGCCUGCAUAACACAGCUGAUGCAACUGCAAGAAACCUCGUGGCUGACCUGCCACCUCUGAAGCUUGGAGUGGGCUUUGCACCUCACUUUUUCAAUGAACGCACGCAAGGUAGAACUGCAGUUGAAAUAAUAGAAGGGAAGGAAGAGCUUAUAAAUGACAUGGGUAGCCUACAGCAAAUGGUCGAGACAGUACGAUCAAAUGCAAUUAAACAUUACAUUUGCCAACCUGAUCUGGCAUAUUAUAAAAUGGCGUGGUAUCCAGGGCACGGCGGUGCCUGCUUCAUGGUGCAAAAAUCAGGAACUGAAAUAGCAAGGGCGCACAAAGUCGAUUGUGGUUUCGAGACCUGGGGAUCUUCCGAGAGAAGGCGCUCGAAGUGAGAAGAAUGGAGCAGGAAUUCAUGCUUAGGAGGCGCCGGCAGCAGCCCCAGGUGCCACAGGGGAGUAGCCCAGUUAGUUAGAGUCUUAUUCAGAUAAGAUAGAGUUGGUUUAGGCCUUUGUUUGGCCAAAGAGUAAUCGGUUAGGAUUCUCCUUUGUAGUAUGGGUGAUAUAUAAACCCAAUUGUACUAGGGGACUAAUUAAGAAAUAAUAUCAAAAGGGAUAUUGUUGCCCA